ACUUUGGUCAGAAAUAAUACCUAAAGGUAUUCCUUUUCUGCAAUCUAAAGUGCUUUGAAAUUUUGAAGGGAUCAUAAAUUUCCUUUUGGAGGCCAAGGGGCUUUAGCAUGAGGCUGCCUUUCAGUCCUUCAUUAUUUAUGAGCAGACCAUUUUCGAUAGACUACGAACCACUCAAACCCUUCUCGAAGAUUCAAACUGAAAGCAACACUUAAACUUUUGAGACUUUGCCUAUUACUUUUAAUUUUUCACCUCUCAUUUUGGCUUCUAGCCCAAAGCUAGUGGUACACACCCACACAUGCACACAACAUACACACACAUACACAUUAUGUUUUAGCUGUUUCUGUCAAAAAUAUUUUAAGGACUUUCCCACAUUGUUUUCCAGGCUGAGAAGUGUGUAUGAAUCGGUGAAAGACCUUGUCUCAUUAAGUCAGGAGGAGCAACCCUCAUGGCUCCUAUGACUUUUCAAAGUACUUCUUUAGAUAUAGGCUUACAGAAGUUACGGAAACCUACUAUGGGCUCUCCACAAUUUGUCCUUAGGGGAGGCUUACAUUUCUGAAGUUUUCCCUCCAGAACAAAGCAGAAUGUAAGUUGAAACAAAAUGGGAUAAAUCUGUGAUACCCCAAAACAAGUUAGAAUUGUACCCAACAAUAAAUUUUAUUUCCUCAGGUAAAAGCAAAAUGAAGAUGCUGGUUGGGCGUGUCGUGGACAGUUUUCCUGUUCAUUUGUUUUUUAAUAAGUAUUUUUUUUUAAAAGAAAUGGGUAAUAAUCAGGCAUGUUCCACAUCCCAAUGGCAGUUCUCAAGCUCUUCGCGGCGGCUUGGAUGGUCACCAAGUUUGCUAAUUCACCUUUCUCACCCCAGCACACCACAUCUGCUCCCUCCUGAAGAGUUGAGAUAAUACCUUCUUUCAAGAGAUGUCGUGAAAAUGUUUGUAAUUCAAAAGGCCUGAUACUAAGGUAUGUGUUAAAAAAGUAUUGCUACUUGAAUGUGAGGUUUUUAGUG
rnacentral:lncRNA from 1 species